CAGUAGCCACGGUAAUACGAAGGGUGCAAGCGUUACUCGGAAUUACUGGGCGUAAAGCGUGCGUAGGUGGUGGUUUAAGUCCGUUGUGAAAGCCCUGGGCUCAACCUGGGAAUUGCAGUGGAUACUGGGUCACUAGAGUGUGGUAGAGGAUAGUGGAAUUUCCGGUGUAGCAGUGAAAUGCGUAGAGAUCGGAAGGAACAUCUGUGGCGAAGGCGGCCAUCUGGGACAACACUGACGCUGAGGCACGAAAGCGUGGGGAGCAAACAGGAUUAGAUACCCGAGUAGUCCCUGUCUCUUAUAC
rnacentral:rRNA from 1 species